GGGAGUUUGGUCUAGUGGUAUGAUUCUCAGCUUCCGGUGCGAAGAGGCCGCGAGGUUCGAUUCUCGCAAACUCCCC
rnacentral:tRNA from 1 species